rfam:Trichosporon oleaginosus strain IBC0246 unplaced genomic scaffold CC85scaffold_28, whole genome shotgun sequence.
AUCCUCUCUGGCCAUAUUGGCUAAGAUCAUGUGUAGUAUCUGUUCUUAAUGCUGUGAGAAGCAUUACAGCCCUACGGGGCUUACUUCUCUAGCAAUUUUUCCUCGCCCGGUGCCUCCUCUGUGCUUGCACACGAGCACCACGAUGUCGCUGGCUCUACACUACCGCCUUCAGAUGUCAGGGUAC